UACGUAGGGUGCAAGCGUUGUCCGGAAUUAUUGGGCGUAAAGAGCUCGUAGGCGGUUUGUCGCGUCGAAUGUGAAAACCCGGGGCUCAACCCCGGGCCUGCAUUCGAUACGGGCAGACUAGAGUUCGGUAGGGGAGUCUGGAAUUUCUGGUGUAGCGGUGAAAUGCGCAGAUAUCAGGAGGAACACCGGUGGCGAAGGCGGGACUCUGGGCCGAUACUGACGCUGAGGAGCGAAAGCGUGGGGAGCAAACAGG
rnacentral:rRNA from 1 species